rnacentral:tRNA from 1 species
GAGGGUGUAGCUCAAAUGAUAGAGCACAUGCUUAGCAUGCACGAGGUUCUGGGUUCAACCCCUGGCAUCUCCU